AAUUGCCUACGGGGCGCAGCAGUGGGGGAUAUUGCACAAUGGGGGAAACCCUGAUGCAGCGACGCCGCGUGGGUGAAGAAGCGCCUCGGCGCGUAAAGCCCUGUCAGCAGGGAAGAAAAUGACGGUACCUGAAGAAGAAGCCCCGGCUAACUACGUGCCAGCAGCCGCGGUAAUACGUAGGGGGCAAGCGUUAUCCGGAUUUACUGGGUGUAAAGGGGGCGCAGACGGCGAUGCAAGCCAGGAGCGAAAGCCCGGGGCCCAACCCCGGGACUGCUCUUGGAACUGCGUGGCUAGAGUGCAGGCGG
rnacentral:rRNA from 1 species